rnacentral:rRNA from 1 species
CGAUUUUCCGGUUGAUCCUGCCGGAGGUCACUGCUAUCGGGGUUCGAUUACGCCAUGCGAGUUGAGAGGGUUUAGACCCUCGGCGGACUGCUCAGUAACACGUGGAUAACCUGCCCUAAGGUGGAGGAUAACCCCGGGAAACUGGGGAUAAUACUCCAUAGAUCAGAGUAACUGGAAUGUUUUCUGGUCGAAAGUUCCGGCGCCUUAGGAUGGAUCUGCGGCCGAUUAGGUAGUUGUUGGGGUAACGGCCCAACAAGCCAGUCAUCGGUACGGGUUGUGGGAGCAAGAGCCCGGAGAUGGAAUCUGAGACACGAUUCCAGGCCCUACGGGGCGCAGCAGGCGCGAAAACUUUACAAUGCAGGAAACUGUGAUAAGGGAACCCCGAGUGCUCGUACACGCGAGCUGUCCAGGUGUGUAAAAAGCAUCUGAAGAAAGGGCCGGGCAAGACCGGUGCCAGCCGCCGCGGUAAUACCGGCGGCUCGAGUGGUGGCCACUAUUAUUGGGCUUAAAGCGUUCGUAGCUGGACUCUUAAGUCUCCUGGGAAAUCCGCCGGCUCAACCGGCGGGCGUCCAGGAGAUACUGGGAGUCUUGGAACCGGAAGAGGUAAGAGUACUUCGGGGUAGGAGU